GCUAAAUUUAACAACUAAAGAAUAACUUUCGAAAAGAAAAAGAAUGCGACAGAACGUCGCUUAACUGCACAAAUAGUAAAAUAGAGAAACGCUGAUGUUAUCAAUGUCGUUCGCAUAAAAGUAAACUUAUGGCAGUAAAUCAGCUGUUUAUUUAAAAUGUUGAACGUUAAUCGUGUAUCCGGAUAAUAAAGUUACGAAAUUUAUACGAAAAGUGGAAUCUCGAUCAGUUUGGCAAUCUGAUAUGUGUAAUAACCAGCCUUGAGAUCAUCGAGGACAGGAUUUCUGAAGCACGCAAAAUCGCGUGAGGAAAGAGGCUCCUCCUCGGUGCUCGUCGAAGAGUAACAACCAACCGGCUGGAAUAUUCAACAAAGUGGUUUCGAUGGACGUUUUGUGCCUCGCGCGUGGUAUCGCAUGCGCGCGCAUCUUCGCUCCAUCCUUUUAAACAACUCUUGUUGAAUUAUCGAUCGACGUUAAAAACAACGCUGCUACAGAGAGGGGCCGUGUAGAAUUUUCGCGUACGCAUCCGUCAUCCUUUGUCGUUCGAUUAAUCAAAAAUUUCGUUGGUUAGCCAGGACUCAUUAACGGGCGACGUUGCUCACCCAUUAAGAUCAGCCUGGAUACAAAUCGAUCUGUCGAGGGAUAACAACGUACACGUGAUUUAAUCGUAGCUGUUUAUCUCCAACAGCCGGUUACUACACAGUAUAGGUGUUGAUCCUCUGGACCAUCUUACACAAUUGCAGCAACGUCAUUAGUGACUAUGUUGUAUAAGAUACUUAAAACUAGAAUGACAAGUCUUUGAAGAAGAAGAAAAAGAACAAGAAAAACAAGUCUUUAUACAUACACAUAAGCUCGUCCCUAAUUAAGGCCAGUGAUCAACCCAUUUCGCAAUGUAAUUCAGUUUCUAAGGGAAUUGAAAGCCAGGAAGUACAUGUACCACAAUAUGAACUGACACUUUAGCUUACUACCAAUGUAACAGUGACACAGUGUCACUGAACUAUUACUAGUUUUCUAGAACUUAAUAACCAAUAACGCUACCUAAUUAGCUAAUCAGUAAAUUGAUCGACACGGUAAAGCUGUAGCAAUAUGUACCUUUAUCCUAACAAAGGCGUGAAAUUAUGGGAUAAUAUAUCUUAUGGGAGUAGAAAUCGACUGGAGAGAAGACAGGUGAAGGAUGGACCAAUUAUUCAUGACGGAUGUUGUCAUUAAAAAAAAUGGCUCGCAAGAAAACCGGGUACCUUACUCCUGCUGGCCAUAUCAGGAACUUCAGACUCACUCGGCGACGAUCAUUGAAUCCUGAGCAGCGGCACGGCUCAUAAAAAUGCAUCGGAUCUCCUCGAGAAAGUUUCACGAAAGUCAGCGUGGAAAAAGAGCGAGAUUUCAGGAUGAUCGGCUGGCAAAAGUGUGUCACCAGUCGUCGAACGAAAAUAAUUGCCUUAUCAGAGGCCGUGAAGGCGAAAGUGUUGUAUAUUGGAAAGGCGAGUCAGAAGUUCAAGGAUGGAUAUACUUUGGAAUACCAACAGACAGUUGGCCAUAAUGACCGCGAGAAGGAUUGAUUCGGCGACUGACGCGAUGAAAAAUGUUGGAAAGCGAUGCAACAAUGUUUCUUUGGACGGAAGACGAAGUGGUGUGUUGGAUGGUAGAUGGCUGGACAUAAUUUUUGACCGGCUGCUGCCCGGUUUAAGAAAGUCAUGCCUAUUAGCCGCCAUUAAGGCCACCCUACGGAAAGUCGAUUCCCUGAGGGAAGGAAAGGCGACGUCGCUCUCCAUUUUUACUUUCCUGCGCGAGCUGGAGGGAGAAAGUAACGUGAAACUGACGAAUGAUGCUUGGUUUCCCAGAACUUACUUCUCCAUAAAUACGUACUUGAAAAAAGUCAAUUAACGAUUGCAUUCGUACGUUGUAGAACAUUUUUAUUUCAACAUGCUGUACAGUUCCACUAAAUCCAUUUAAAAAGUUUUCAUUUUCUUUCCUAAAAUUUCAAUUUCAAAUAACAAACUAUAAUGUUUAAAUUACGAUAUAAAACUCUAGAAUUAAUAAACUCGAUAAUAUUACGAAUUAUAUUUCUACGAACGGAGAUUAUGGUCUAAAGAUCUUUGAAGCCUCGUUAGCGAAAUUUUUUAUUUACAAUAUUAAUUUUACAAAUUACAAUUACAAUUACAAAUUUAAUUACAAUUAGAAAUGAAAUUCAUUAAACAAUACCAAACUUUAUUACAUUUUUUUUUUUUUUUUGGCCGAUUGAAAUAAUAGUAAGAAUAAUACGAUUAAGGAAUUUGUCUCACACGUGUCGAUGUAAACGCGGCAUAAUAUUUUGCAAAGAUUGUACCGCGACUGCCAGCACGAAAUACGUAGAAAUUCGCGUGACAGCGAACGUACUAACAAAUUAACCAGCCUUUCUAUGAGUAUUCUCUGAUAAAACGUAAAAAGUCGUUCGCCAGAGCCACACUCAACAUUCCGACGGGAGGCUAAAUUUCAAGUCGACCCAGCAACAACGAAAGUAUGACCGCUGCACGAGAAGAAACGACGUGUCCACCGAGGGGACCAGUUUUUCCACGGCGGGAACCGAUCCACGCGUGAUCUCGCCGGACCGCUUCUUGCGGAUCGGCCCUCAGUCGGCGAUCAUCCGAAAGUCCCCGCCGGGGAACGUUGAUCGCCGCUCUCGACGUGGUUACUUUCGAUAAACGUGAGCGACCGCGUCCCCUCGCGCCACCAAUACUACGCUACCGGUCGAAAAUUUCGGAGAAAACCAUAAUUGUUGGCCAGGUGGGUCGAACAGGGGACAGCGAGGCCUAAAAAGUAAUCUGGAUGCAAAUGGAAACGGGGAACCAGAGGUUUUGUGUCGACGAUGGUAGCGAGAAGACGUUUGAGAAUGUUUGGUCUUCGUGGAAACGAGACUUUACGAUAGAUUCGCUAGAUACGGCAGCUACAUCCAUUGUCCGAAUACUUGAAAAUUCUACGCUCAUU